AAGCUCCGGCCGAACUGCUCCUUUGCUCCAAAGUAAUUUUUGGGCGGAUUUUUUAAAAGUAAUUUUUCCCGGCGGNAGUCAUAGUGGCGCUAUACUCUUCGGACAGGUUAUCCCUGUUCUCUCCCGCUAGAUUUGAUGAGAUCAGGCAUC
rfam:Pongo abelii chromosome 13 P_pygmaeus2.0.2_Contig315.78, whole genome shotgun sequence.